GAAAAACACAACUCCGUUUUUUCUUCUUCUUCUUCUGAUCCUCAGUUGCUUUCAAAUUCUCUUUUGAAUCUGUUGUAUUGAUCGGUCGGAGAUUUACUCUGUUUUGGUUUUUGUAUGAUAGGCUUUUGUAUGCUCGAUUGAUCGAUCCUUAAAUCAUAAAGGAUCUUCAUUUCAGGUUUGGCCUCAAAACCCUAUGUUGCUUCUUCUUGAUCUAUAUAUAUCUUAAUGUUCUAUGGUCUCAGCUUCUGUUCUUUGCUACUACGUCUACACUCAGUUUCUUAGUAAAAGAGAAGUUAUCACAGAGUUACAAUGGUUCUGAAUAAGCCAUCUAUUGAAUACAACAGUAGUUUCUUACUUACCUGGAAAGCAAAUAUACACAAGACAAUAACUAACCCUAAUGCAAUGGUGCUGCUUGCAUUCAAUAGUCUUGUUCUCAUUGUCCCAGUAAGUGAACUCGAACAGAACCUUGCUCAUGGUCACAUCCACUUCGUUAAAUAUUUAUGCUUUGUUGAUGAUACAAGUCACCACCAAAUUAUAAAAACAGAUGUUCUGAUAGAGAACGAGUUGACACAUCUGAUUAAAGACAUGCGGGAUUACUCUUCUUGAUUCGUCUAGUUUCACACAGUUGCAGGAAUAACAAUAGAAUCUCUUCAAUGAUUCACACUUUGCUUACAUUUUCGACACUCAACGGACUCCAAAAGAUCGAUAUGUGACACAGAGUUUUCUGCAUUUGUGGAUGCUACGUUCUUUUUAAGACUUUUCGUUGCUGCUACUCUGAGUUUUAUCCAUCAAAUCCAUGCACUGCACUCAAUGAUCUGACAUAUUUACUGCUUGUGACAUUUUCAUCUUUAGAGAUCCGAGCGGCUCCAUCCUCAAUCGCAUUUGAUUCUUCUGUGUUUCUGGGACAACUUAGUGUGAAAAAUAAAGUGAUGUUUCACGGUGGAGCUUUUUGUCUUCUUUUUCUUAGACCAACAACCUGUGUGUUUAGCGUUAUCCACAUUCUCAACAUUUUGGUAGCCAAUGUUGCCUACGGCUUCAGGUUCACAGUCCAAAUAUUCAUCAUAUCCUUCUUUCAAGAUCUGUAUACCACACUCAAUAAUCUUGUUGUUAUCUGAGCAAGUGAAUUCGAACAGAA